UACGUAGGGGGCAAGCGUUGUCCGGAUUUAUUGGGCGUAAAGAGCGUGUAGGCGGCCAGGUAGGUCUGCUGUGAAAACUCGAGGCUUAACCUCGAGCUGUCGGCGGAAACCAUCUGGCUAGAGUCCGGAAGAGGAGAAUGGAAUUCCCGGUGUAGCGGUGAAAUGCGCAGAUAUCGGGAAGAACACCCGUGGCGAAGGCGGUUCUCUGGGACGGUACUGACACUGAGGCGCGAAAGCGUGGGGAGCGAACAGG
rnacentral:rRNA from 1 species